rnacentral:rRNA from 1 species
CUACUCCUUUCCGGGGGCAGCAGUAGGGAAUCUUCCGCAAUGGGCGAAAGCCUGACGGAGCAACGCCGCGUGAGUGAUGAAGGUUUUCGGAUCGUAAAGCUCUGUUGCCAGGGAAGAACGUCCGGUAGAGUAACUGCUAUCGGAGUGACGGUACCUGAGAAGAAAGCCCCGGCUAACUACGUGCCAGCAGCCGCGGUAAUACGUAGGGGGCAAGCGUUGUCCGGAAUUAUUGGGCGUAAAGCGCGCGCAGGCGGUCAUUUAAGUCUGGUGUUUAAGGCCAAGGCUCAACCUUGGUUCGCACUGGAAACUGGGUGACUUGAGUGCAGAAGAGGAGAGUGGAAUUCCACGUGUAGCGGUGAAAUGCGUAGAUAUGUGGAGGAACACCAGUGGCGAAGGCGACUCUCUGGGCUGUAACUGACGCUGAGCGCUAGCUACUC